AGUUUACUGCCUUGUUGGUGACUGGCGAAAAUACAGUUGAGCCAACAUUUGAAUACCGGGAGGCAAGAUGCCGCGUCCAGUGCGUGCCUUUACGAAGGCGAUCGCCGGAGGGCCGGCUGCAAGGGGUUUUUCGAAUGGAACGCCUCGAACGCCGCCCACCUGUUACAUACAGGUUCAAUUCAACUCGUCGGAACCGCAAGGCGGUUGUCAU
rnacentral:other from 1 species